GGUCCAGUGGCGUAGUGGUAAUGCACUCUGCUUGCGUAGCUGGCAGGAAACUGAAUAAUAGAGGGUCCAGAGUUCGAGUCUCCAUUGGGCCU